rnacentral:lncRNA from 1 species
CUUCGAAGCAGUGGAAACCUUACUAGCGCCUGUAAUUGUAUUAACCGCAUUAUCUAUUUUUACGACUCAGCAACAUUUUGUUGACACGCGAUAAAGAAUCAUUCAAAAAAGAAGUCCAUAUGCGACCCUUCUAGAAGUUGCACUUCUAUAGAGUUCAAUAACCCGAAGUUUCACACACUGCCAAAGUUUUGGUACAGCCCAGAAAAGCAAGACCGGCACAAUGUUCUUGAAUCUUGCCUUAAAUCACCACGUGAAGUCAAUACUGCCUCUGAAACAAACUUGCUAAUGAUUCAUAGAAAUGACAAUAUUGAAGACUUUACUUGUUUAGAAAAGGAUACAGCAGCUUGCGGAGACGAAAAAUUUGGUGGUGAAAAAUUUUCUCUCACAGACAUGCAGAACACCUCCCAUAAUAUCAGAAAUUGUAAUAAAGCGAUACAAAAAUCAAGGGAAUGCUGUGACGGUCAAAAAUUUGCAGGAAUUUGGAAAAAUAGUAGUUGGCAAAAAAAUUAUGGUCACACAAAUUUGAGUAAGAAUCCAAGACCCCGUAAGUUAAUUGAAAAUUUCAAUCAAGUAUUCUUUCAUUUUUUAUUAUGUAUUGAUUGUAGUGGCACAAGGGUAAUUGGAAAAAGGUUGGCAUCGGAAACAAUACAGGAAAAUUAAUUUAAAGUUAUUGAAACAAACAGAGAACAAUUCCGUUUUCAACAA